rnacentral:rRNA from 1 species
AUUGAACGCUGGCGGCAGGCUUAACACAUGCAAGUCGAGCGGAGAUGAGGUGCUUGCACCUUAUCUUAGCGGCGGACGGGUGAGUAAUGCUUAGGAAUCUUCCUAUUAGUGGGGGACAACAUUCCGAAAGGAAUGCUAAUACCGCAUACGUCCUACGGGAGAAAGCAGGGGAUCUUCGGACCUUGCGCUAAUAGAUGAGCCUAAGUCGGCUUAGCUAGUUGGUGGGGUAAAGGCCUACCAAGGCGACGAUCUGUAGCGGGUCUGAGAGGAUGAUCCCCCACACUGGGACUGAGACACGGCCCAGACUCCUACGGGAGGCAGCAGUGGGGAAUAUUGGACACUGGGGGGAACCCUGAUCCAGCCAUGCCGCGUGUGUGAAGAAGGCCUUAUGGUUGUAAAGCACUUUAAGCGAGGAGGAGGCUACUGAGACUAAUACUCUUGGAUAGUGGACGUUACUCGCAGAAUAAGCACCGGCUAACUCUGUGCCAGCCGCCGCAGUAAUAC